GUUGUUAUUAAACUUUCUCAGUAUUCCAUUAAAACAGUCAACACUUUUAUCCAAAGCGACUUACGAUAAGUGCAUUCAACUAUAAGGUUACGAACACAGAACAGCGUGAAUCAUGUGUGUAAAUGUACUAAACACCACAAAAAAUAAACCUGGCCUCAGUCAAAUACUUAUCCCAUAUGAAUUAACCGCUGCUCACGUCACCCGCUCGCGUCAUCAGCUGAUGGACUCGUCCAAUCAGAGCCUCGUAAACGCCGUGCAGCAGCGUCGAGUGUCCCGCAGACAGGAAGCGGGUCGUGUUUAGCUUGUCCCGUACGAGUGACUCUGUCUUCGGGGUAAAUAACUUGCUGAAGUCGACACGACGCUGUUCCCUGGAGGAGAAGAUGAGUGCGUGUGGAGGCAGAGCCGCGGGCCCGGUGUGGACGAGUCGAGGCGGAGAAGACGGGCGCACAGUCCCUGAGUUACGCCUCAGCCCCCCCCCACACACACACACACACACGCACACACACACACAAACAAAGAGGCGUUAGGCUGAGACGCUGAAAGUCCGGAUUUAAAGUGCAGAAAAUGAAGCCAUUGAAUCUGCCUGUCCAUGACGUACAAAGACACACUAUGAGCCAGUAUGAUCCGACCAGACCUUACAUCAGCAUUGAGGAGUUGUCGGAGAAGAAAGAGGCUGAUUGAAGCGGGACAGAUGACAUGGAUCCAUCCUUCCACAGCCAGGAGCGCACCGACCUGUGUCCCACACUUCAUAUAAGACUGGAAGCUACACUGAUCUCACAGCUACACACCACAGACGUCUACACACUGGAGAAGAGUCCCACAAAGAAGUCAUGACCCAGAGGCUGCAGAGAAACAUUUCAAGCCUCAUCUGAGUUUUUGUACAAUAUUUUUGCUGUAUGUAAAUAAAGCUUUCACUCCA